rfam:Gossypium raimondii chromosome 7, whole genome shotgun sequence.
CACGUCAGCGCGCUUUGCUGACGUGGCAACAAAUCGCGUCCACGAGGGGGCGAUUUGUUGCCACAUCAGCAAAGCAUGCUGACGUGG